AGGACGAACGCUGGCGGCGCGCUUAACACAUGCAAGUCGAACGAAGCAACAGUGAAGGAGGCUUCGGCCAAUGGAUCUGUUGACUUAGUGGCGGACGGGUGAGUAACGCGUGAGCAACCUGCCUUUCAGAGGGGGGAUAACGUUUGGAAACGAACGCUAAUACCGCAUGACAUAGCUUUAUCGCAUGGUAGGGCUAUCAAAGGAGCAAUCCGCUGAAAGAUGGGCUCGCGUCCGAUUAGAUAGUUGGUGGGGUAACGGCCUACCAAGUCGACGAUCGGUAGCCGGACUGAGAGGUUGAACGGCCACAUUGGGACUGAGACACGGCCCAGACUCCUACGGGAGGCAGCAGUGGGGAAUAUUGCACAAUGGGCGCAAGCCUGAAUGCAGCAACGCCGCGUGAGGGAAGACGGUUUUCGGAUUGUAAACCUCUGUCCUUGGUGAAGAAGAAUGACGGUAGCCGAGGAGGAAGCCACGGCUAACUACGUGCCAGCCGCUGC
rnacentral:rRNA from 1 species